rnacentral:rRNA from 1 species
GACGAACGCUGGCGGCGUGCUAAUACAUGCAAGUAGAACGCACAGUAUAUACCGUAGCUUGCUACACCAUAGACUGUGAGUUGCGAACGGGUGAGUAACGCGUAGGUAACCUGCCUGGUAGCGGGGGAUAACUAUUGGAAACGAUAGCUAAUACCGCAUAAUAUUAAUUAUUGCAUGAUAAUUGAUUGAAAGAUGCAACUGCAUCACUACCAGAUGGACCUGCGUUGUAUUAGCUAGUAGGUGAGGUAACGGCUCACCUAGGCGACGAUACAUAGCCGACCUGAGAGGGUGAUCGGCCACACUGGGACUGAGACACGGCCCAGACUCCUACGGGAGGCAGCAGUAGGGAAUCUUCGGCAAUGGACGAAAGUCUGACCGAGCAACGCCGCGUGAGUGAAGAAGGUUUUCGGAUCGUAAAGCUCUGUUGUAAGAGAAGAACGGGUGUGAGAGUGGAAAGUUCACACUGUGACGGUAUCUUACCAGAAAGGGACGGCUAACUACGUGCCAGCAGCCGCGGUAAUACGUAGGUCCCGAGCGUUGUCCGGAUUUAUUGGGCGUAAAGCGAGCGCAGGCGGUUAGAUAAGUCUGAAGUUAAAGGCUGUGGCUUAACCAUAGUACGCUUUGGAAACUGUUUAACUUGAGUGCAGAAGGGGAGAGUGGAAUUCCAUGUGUAGCGGUGAAAUGCGUAGAUAUAUGGAGGAACACCGGUGGCGAAAGCGGCUCUCUGGUCUGUAACUGACGCUGAGGCUCGAAAGCGUGGGGAGCGAACAGG